rnacentral:lncRNA from 1 species
UAUGUAAACGAGAUGCAUUUGAUAGCAAAAUAAAAAGAUGUUGCUGUUUUUCACUCAAACUCCCAAUCCAAACCCUUCCAAGUUUCUGUAUUUCUCUCAGCUUUGGUGGACCUAAUUUCCUUGGCUCACAUUCACCUCUCCAAAACAUCUAAGCAACCAGAUCAAUGCAUCCACAUGGCACAAAGAGAGCCACAAUAUCACUACAAAAUAUAAGCUUGGGAAUCCACAUACUAAUUCACCACCAAUAAGAUGUUGCUGACUUGUGCAUAUCCUAAUCUACAAUAUCUUAUGAUUUCCACCGUGGCCACUCCCAACACUUCUAUAAACCUUUGUAUCCUUUCUUCAUUCUUCACAACAACACUAGCUUAUACCACUAAAGAGAACAAACAUCAAGAAACCUCAACGCCCUCAUGGCCACCUCUGCAAUCCAACAAUCAGCAUUCACUGGAAAGACUGGUUUGAAACAAGGAAAUGAGUUCAUCAGGAAAGCUGGUAGCUUUGGCCAAAGUCGCUUCACCAUGCGUCGUACUGUGAAGAGUGCUCCUGAAAGCAUUUGGUAAGUAGUUCAAUUACAGUCAAAAUUAGCUUAAAAUACAAUAAGUUAUAGUUUUUAACACUCCUUUAUCUCAUUAUGACUCUUAAGAACAUAAUAACUAAAUCUUAGCAACUUGGGCCAGACCCAAAAGCCAGUGAUUAUGCAUGUGUAAUGAAGUAAAUUAAAUGAAAUCAAAUCAAAUGUUAAUAACUAACUGGUGAUACAGCUACAUAAAGUUAUUAUGUUAUCUUGUAAAGAUCAAAUCAGAAGCAACGUCAUGUGCUAAUAUUUGAAGUAAGGUUAUGAUAAUUUGUUUUCAUAUAUUUGACUUGGUAUGAUCUGUUUUGAAAACCAGGUAUGGCCCAGACCGUCCCAAGUACUUGGGUCCAUUCUCUGAACAAAUUCCAUCAUACUUGACUGGUGAAUUUCCUGGUGAUUAUGGAUGGGACACAGCUGGAUUAUCAGCUGACCCUGAAACCUUUGCAAGGAACCGUGAGCUUGAAGUAAUUCACAGCAGAUGGGCCAUGCUUGGUGCAUUGGGAUGUACCUUCCCUGAGAUCCUUGAGAAGAACGGUGUUAAAUUCGGUGAGGCUGUGUGGUUUAAGGCUGGUGCCCAGAUCUUCUCUGAGGGUGGCCUUGACUAUUUGGGCAACCCAAACCUGAUCCAUGCUCAGAGCAUUCUUGCAAUCUGGGCUACUCAGGUUGUGCUCAUGGGAUUUGUUGAAGGCUACAGAGUUGGUGGAGGACCACUUGGUGAAGGACUGGACCCACUUUACCCUGGUGGUGCCUUUGACCCUCUUGGUCUUGCUGAUGACCCCGAU